CACAUAUUUUGAAUAAGAAUUUUUUAUGUCAGUCAUUCAAUUGGAAAAUUUCUCCUCAUCAUUAAUGACUUUAUUAGACUAUAAAAUAACUAUAAUCGUCAUAAAAAUAAAGUGCAUAAAAGUCCUUCAGGUAAAAGGAUAACUUUUACGAUUAUGAAUGAAUCGUACAAUGACCUAUAAUUGCUUAUAUGCACAUGCUUUCAAAUCUGAUGAAUAUUGUAACAAGUUGUCUCAUUGGCAAUCCUACUAGUAUCUCUUAAUUUUAUAUAAAUUCUUCUCCACUAA
rnacentral:lncRNA from 1 species